GCAAGUCGAACGAACUAGUAAUAGGGAGUGGAAAACGGGUGAGUAACACGUGGGAACAUACCCAGGGGUACGGAAUAACUUAGGGAAACUUAAGCUAAUACCGUAUACGUCCUUAGGGAGAAAGAUUUAUCGCCCCUGGAUGGGCCCGCGUCUGAUUAGCUUGUUGGUGGGGUAAAAGCCUACCAAGGCGACGAUCAGUAGCUGGUCUGAGAGGAUGAUC
rnacentral:rRNA from 1 species